CCUACGGGAGGCAGCAGUGGGGAAUAUUGGACAAUGGGCGAAAGCCUGAUCCAGCGACGCCGCGUGUGUGAAGAAGGCCUGCGGGUUGUAAAGCACUUUUAGUGGGGAUGAAAAGCUCGGCGAUAACACCGCCGGGUCUUGACCUAACCCACAGAAAAAGCACCGGCUAACUCUGUGCCAGCAGCCGCGGUAAUACAGAGGGUGCGAGCGUUAAUCGGAAUUACUGGGCGUAAAGCGCGCGUAGGCGGUUUUGUAAGUCGGGUGUGAAAGCCCCGGGCUCAACCUGGGAACUGCAUUCGAGACUGCAUUACUGGAGUAUGGGAGAGGGCAGUGGAAUUUCCGGUGUAGCGGUGAAAUGCGUAGAUAUCGGAAGGAACAUCAGUGGCGAAAGCGACUGCCUGGCCCAAUACUGACGCUCAUGUGCGAAAGCGUGGGGAGCA
rnacentral:rRNA from 1 species